GAUGAACGCUAGCGGCAGGCUUAAUACAUGCAAGUCGUGGGGCAGCAGGAGUAGCAAUACUUGCUGGCGACCGGCAAACGGGUGCGUAACACGUACGCAACCUUCCUACAGGCGGGGAAUAGCCCAGAGAAAUUUGGAUUAAUACCCCAUAAGAUUUUGGAGUGGCAUCACUCUAUUAUUAAAGCUUCGGCACCUGAAGAUGGGCGUGCGGCUGAUUAGGUAGUUGGCGGGGUAACGGCCCACCAAGCCUUCGAUCAGUAGCUGAUGUGAGAGCAUGAUCAGCCACACGGGCACUGAGACACGGGCCCGACUCCUACGGGAGGCAGCAGUAAGGAAUAUUGGUCAAUGGACGAAAGUCUGAACCAGCCAUGCCGCGUGGAGGAUGAAGGUCCUCUGGAUUGUAAACUUCUUUUAUUUGGGACGAAAAAGGGCAUUCUUGCUCACUUGACGGUACCAGAUGAAUAAGCACCGGCUAACUCCGUGCCAGC
rnacentral:rRNA from 1 species